rfam:Ictidomys tridecemlineatus contig004367, whole genome shotgun sequence.
GGAGUUGUGGCUCAGUGGUAGAGCAUUUGCCUAGCAUGAAUGAGACCCUGGGUUCAAUUCCCAGCAACAUCA